GACGAACGCUGGCGGCGUGCUUAACCCAUGCAAGUCGAGCGGAGCGGCGCACGGGUGAGUAACGCGUGAGUAACUGCCCCCCUCUCUGGGAUAACAGUUGGAAACGGCUGCUAAUACCGGAUAGUGGGGGAUGCCUCGCGUCCUAUCAGCUUGUUGGUGGGGUAUUGGACUACCAAGGCGACGACAGGUAGCCGGGCUGAGAGGGCGACCGGCCACAGUGGGCUUGGAUACGGCCCAAACUCCUACGGUGGGCAGCAGUGGGGAAUAUUGCACAAUGUGGUAAACCCUGAUGCAGCAACGCGCGUGCGGGAUUACGGCCUUCGGGUUGUAACCCGCUUUCAGCCAUGACGCGGUAGUGGCAGAAGCAGCACCGGCUAACUACGUGCCAGCAGCCGCGGUACUAC
rnacentral:rRNA from 1 species